rnacentral:rRNA from 1 species
UAAAGGUGAAGCCUGCCCAGUGACAAUACGUUCAACGGCCGCGGUAUCCUAACCGUGCAAAGGUAGCGCAAUCAAUUGUCCCAUAAAUCGGGACCUGUAUGAAUGGCUUAACGAGGUCUUAGCUGUCUCCUACAGAUAAUCAGCGAAAUUGAUCUUCCUGUGCAAAAGCAGGAAUGUCUUCAUAAGACAAGAAGACCCUGUGGAACUUUAAAACCUGCUACCACCCCCAUUAACAAUUUUCCUCCACAGGACUUACUCUCCCUGGACUUUACUGGUAUGCAUUUUUUUGGUUGGGGCGACCUUGGAGAUAAACUUAACCUCCAAAAACCGGACAAUCCAUCUUGACCAAGAACCACUAAUCAACGUACUAAUAGUAGCCAGACCCAAUAUAAUUGACUAAUGAACCUAGCUACCCCAGGGAUAACAGCGCAAUCUCCUUCAAGAGCCCACAUCGACAAGGAGGUUUACGACCUCGAUGUUGGAUCAGGACAUCCUAGUGGUGCAACCGCUACCAAGGGUUCGUUGGUUCAACGAUUAA